CCUACGGGUGGCAGCAGUGAGGAAUAUUGGUCAAUGGUCGGGAGCCUGAACCAGCCAAGUCGCGUGAGGGAGGAAGGUACAGCGUAUUGUAAACCUCUUUUGUCAGGGAACAAAGUCGGGCACGUGUCCCCGGAUGAGUGUACCUGAAGAAAAAGCAUCGGCUAACUCCGUGCCAGCAGCCGCGGUAAUACGGAGGAUGCGAGCGUUAUCCGGAUUUAUUGGGUUUAAAGGGUGCGCAGGCGGUCUGUUAAGUCAGCGGUCAAAGCUCGGGGCGCAACCCCGGCCCGCCGUUGAAACUGGCAGUCUCGAGUGGGAGAGAAGUAUGCGGAAUGCGCGGUGUAGCGGUGAAAUGCAGAGAUAUCGCGCAGAACUCCGAUUGCGAAGGCAGCAUGCCGGCUCCACACUGACGCUGAGGCACGAAAGCGUGGGUAUCGAACAGGAUUAGAUACCCCAGUAGUC
rnacentral:rRNA from 1 species